rnacentral:rRNA from 1 species
AUUGAACGCUGGCGGCAUGCCUUACACAUGCAAGUCGAACGGUAACGGGCCUUCGGGUGCCGACGAGUGGCGAACGGGUGAGUAAUACAUCGGAACGUGCCCGAUCGUGGGGGAUAACGAGGCGAAAGCUUUGCUAAUACCGCAUACGAUCUACGGAUGAAAGCAGGGGACCGCAAGGCCUUGCGCGGACGGAGCGGCCGAUGGCAGAUUAGGUAGUUGGUGGGAUAAAAGCUUACCAAGCCGACGAUCUGUAGCUGGUCUGAGAGGAUGAUCAGCCACACUGGGCCGGGACACGGGCCCGACCUCUUACGGAAGGAGCAGGUGGGAAAUUUUGGCCAUUGGCGGCAGCCUUGAUCAGGCCAUGCUCGGUGAAGAAUGAAGGCUUUGGGGUGGUAAACUGUUUUUGUAGGGAAGAAAAAGCCUUUUUUAAUACAGGAGGGUCAUGACGGUACCGUAAGAAUAAGCACCGGCUAACUACGUG